rnacentral:rRNA from 1 species
UACGUAGGGGGCUAGCGUUGUCCGGAAUCAUUGGGCGUAAAGCGCGUGUAGGCGGCCAGAUAAGUCCGCUGUGAAAUCUCGAGGCUCAACUUCGAGCUGUCGGUGGAAACUGUCUGGCUAGAGUCCGGAAGAGGAGAAUGGAAUUCCUGGUGUAGCGGUGAAAUGCGCAGAUAUCAGGAAGAACACCCGUGGCGAAGGCGGCUCUCUGGGACGGUACUGACGCUGAGACGCGAAAGCGUGGGGAGCGAACAGG